rnacentral:rRNA from 1 species
CAGUAGCCGCGGUAAUGCGUAGGUCCCGAGCGUUGUCCGGAUUUAUUGGGCGUAAAGCGAGCGCAGGCGGUUAGAUAAGUCUGAUGUGAAAGCCCCCGGCUCAACCGGGGAGGGUCAUUGGAAACUGGGAAACUCGAGUGCAGAAGAGGAGAGUGGAAUUCCACGUGUAGCGGUGAAAUGCGUAGAGAUGUGGAGGAACACCAGUGGCGAAGGCGACUCUCUGGUCUGUAACUGACGCUGAGGAGCGAAAGCGUGGGGAGCGAACAGGAUUAGAUACCCGGGUAGUCCCUGUCUCUUAUAC